rfam:Triticum aestivum genome assembly, contig: Triticum_aestivum_CS42_TGACv1_scaffold_094271_2AL
CACAUACUCCCUCCAUUUAGAAUUACUUGUCGCAGAAAUGGAUAUAUCUAGACGUAUUUUAGUUCUAGAUAUAUCCAUUUUCGAGACAAGUAAUUCUGAACGGAGGAAGUAGUAC